UGCCUAAACCUAUAAAUCUUAUGGGCAUGGCAAAAAAGACUGUGUGAACAAUACUGAACCCGUCGUUCAGGCCUCUGUUCACACAGCUGUAUAUCGAAAGAUAUACGGGAGCGCAAGCUUC
rnacentral:sRNA from 12 species